UACGGGGGGGCGAAGCGUUGUUCGGAAUUACUGGGCGUAAAGGGCUCGUAGGUGGCCAACUAAGUCAUACGUGAAAUCCCUCGGCUUAACCGGGGAACUGCGUCUGAUACUGGAUGGCUUGAGGUUGGGAGAGGGAUGCGGAAUUCCAGGUGUAGCGGUGAAAUGCGUAGAUAUCUGGAGGAACACCGGUGGCGAAGGCGGCAUCCUGGACCGGCAUUGACGCUGAGGCGCGAAAGCCAGGGAGCAAACGGGGAUUAGAUACCCGUGGUAA
rnacentral:rRNA from 1 species